CCGUCACUUUGGGGUAUUCCUGAUCUGAAUCCUGUGCUAAACUGUAAUCUUAGCUCCCCGUGCGAUCGGCACGUUGUUUUUUGGUUUGUUCUGUCUUUUUGGUAUGUUAAUGAUUUAUGAGAAAUAAUUCAUAUCCUACCUCACGCUGUCGUCCGGAACCAUCCGUUCUGCAUUCCAGGAGAACAAACCCCGACCCGACCUCACGCUGAACGUGACACGGGGUCCAAGCAAAUCAAUUCAAGAUUAGUUGACCACUGAAGCUGUUCGAAGUUGGGACCCGGGAUGGACCACUCAUCUGUGCAUCAGUUGGGGACGUCUCUGUGCUGCUGACUUGUCUCCACCCAAGACGAUCUCCUGCUGGACCCACUAUGGACUAGACUCUCACACCAUGAUCUCCAUCCACUCGACGUCUAUUGCACCCUGGUUAGGACGGUGUCCCGACAUCUGCAGUCCUCUCCAAGGUUUCGCACAGUAAUUCCAUUGGGUUGAAUUUUUUAUUGGAUGUUGUUGUGGCUUGUGCGGCCCUUUAGAGACACUAGUGAUUUAGGGCUUUAUAAAUAAACUUUGAUUGAUUGAUUGAUUGAUAGUAGACGGGAAUAGAAAACCGGUUCUUGUUGAGAACCGAUUCACAGUUUUUAUUAUUAUUAUCAAGGCCUGUAGGGGUGAAUGGUCACCUUGCAUGGCAUCCAAACAGCACAAACGCUAGAGAGUUUGUUUACAUUUCAGGCAAAAGGAUGACAACAGUGCAACUUGCAAUACUUAUCAAAGGAAAUAAAUAUUACCAAUAUACAGAAA